UACGAACCGUGCGAACGUUGUUCGGAAUCACUGGGCUUAAAGGGCGCGUAGGCGGCCCGCCGCGUCCGGGGUGAAAUCCUCCCGCUCAACGGGAGAACGGCCUCGGAUACGGGCGGGCUGGAGGCGGGUAGGGGCAGGCGGAACUGUGGGUGGAGCGGUGAAAUGCGUUGAGAUCCACAGGAACUCCGGUGGCGAAGGCGGCCUGCUGGACCCGAUCUGACGCUGAGGCGCGAAAGCCAGGGGAGCGAACGGG
rnacentral:rRNA from 1 species